UACGUAGGGUGCAAGCGUUGUCCGGAAUUAUUGGGCGUAAAGAGCUCGUAGGCGGUUUGUCGCGUCUGCUGUGAAAUCCUGAGGCUCAACCUUGGGCGUGCAGUGGGUACGGGCAGGCUAGAGUGCGGUAGGGGAGAUUGGAAUUCCUGGUGUAGCGGUGGAAUGCGCAGAUAUCAGGAGGAACACCGAUGGCGAAGGCAGAUCUCUGGGCCGCUACUGACGCUGAGGAGCGAAAGCAUGGGGAGCGAACAGG
rnacentral:rRNA from 1 species